UACAGGGGGGGCAAGCGUUGUUCGGAAUUACUGGGCGUAAAGGGCUCGUAGGUGGCCAACUAAGUCAGACGUGAAAUCCCUCAGCUUAACUGGGGAACUGCGUCUGAUACUGGAUGGCUUGAGUUUGGGAGAGGGAUGCGGAAUUCCAGGUGUAGCGGUGAAAUGCGUAGAUAUCUGGAGGAACACCGGUGGCGAAGGCGGCAUCCUGGACCAACACUGACACUGAGGAGCGAAAGCGUGGGGAGCAAACCGG
rnacentral:rRNA from 1 species